rnacentral:tRNA from 1 species
GCCCAGGUGGCGGAAUAGGUAGACGCACAGGACUUAAAAUCCUGCGGCUAGCGAUAGCCAUACCGGUUCGAUUCCGGUUCUGGGCACCA